rnacentral:lncRNA from 1 species
CUAGAGCUCAAACCUGAGGAGUGUUGAGCUACAACUCAACUGUUUUAAAUUUUAUUUUGAGACAGGGUUUCACUAAGUUGCCCAGGCUGGCCUCAAACUUAAUAUCCUUCUGCCUCAGCCUCCAUUAAUCUGCUAACCUAGCUGGCUGCUAAGUGACUAAUAGGCAAGUGUUGCAUACAUGUGGAUUCACUGGUCAAUGGGAUGAUUUGUGUCUUCGGCAGGACAGAUGGGAUGGAGCCAGAUUUCAUCAUGGUGCUCAGAAAGGUGUGCAAUUUAAAACUUGGGAAUUAUUUCUGAAAAUUUCUACUCAAUAUUUUUGGACAGUGACUGCCUGCAGAUAACUGAAACUACAGAAAGUGAAACCAUUGCUGGAGAAACUCCAUGCAUUAUUCUAGUUAUUGCCUCCCAGACUGCUGACUUCUUAAGAAUGCUGCCCUUGGCUGCAGACAGGCAGGUCUGUGCAUGCCCUACCGAGGUCCUGAGUCACGUGGAAGACACCGAAUCAUCCCGCUACAGACAGGCAGCCAACUGAUUCCACACUACAAAGAUGCAGAGGACACCAGACCACCAGACCAAGUGUGGAACCAGGUGGCUCCCUGUCUGCAGCAGAGUGAUUCAGCAUCUUCCGUGGGAAGAUUCGAUGUCUUCCACGGGACUGGAGACCUCGGUACGGCGUGGGCAGGUCUGCCUGUCUGCAGCGUGCUGAUUUGGCGUGUUCUGUGAGACCACAUUUUAAAUAUAUAAAACAAAAUACCUCUAGUCCAAGAAGUGGUUUCUCACCAUUGAGCAUAUACAUGUACCAUGUCCUAAUAUGGUAGCCUUUUCUGGAAGAGAAGGUGCCAUUUUCUGUUCAGGAAAGCUGCAGAUCAUGAGAGUUGGAAACAGAAGUAGCCAUGUUUUCUGCCAUGUGAUGGAAUUUCCAUCUUCCUUGGGGAAAACAAACAAACAAACAAACAUCCAAAGCCAAUACCCGUAGGUUUGAGAGAGAUACAGUGUUCUAUCUACAUCACAACUCUGUUGCUGUUCUUAUAACCAAUAUG